rnacentral:rRNA from 1 species
GUGCCAGACUCCUACGGGAGGCAGCAGUGGGGGAUAUUGCACAAUGGGGGGAACCCUGAUGCAGCGACGCCGCGUGGGUGAAGGAGUAUUUCGGUAUGUAAAGCCCUAUCGGCAGGGAAGAAAUUGGACGGUACCUGACUAAGAAGCCCCGGCUAAAUACGUGCCAGCAGCCGCGGUAAUACGUAUGGAGCAAGCGUUAUCCGGAUUUACUGGGUGUAAAAGGAGCGCAGGCGGCCUUGCAAGUCUGAUGUGAAAGGCCGGGGCCCAACCCCGGGACUGCAUUGGAAACUGCGAGGCUGGAGUGUCGGAGAGGCAGGCGGAAUUCCUAGUGUAGCGGUGAAAUGCGUAGAUAUUAGGAGGAACACCAGUGGCGAAGGCGGCCUGCUGGGCUCUAACUGACGCUGAGGCACGAAAGCGUGGGUAGCAAACAGGAUUAGAUACCCUCGUACA